rnacentral:rRNA from 1 species
GGACUACCGGGGUAUCUAAUCCUGUUCGCUCCCCACGCUUUCGCGCCUCAGCGUCAGUAUUAGGCCAGGUGGCUGCCUUCGCCAUUGACGUUCCUUCCGAUCUCUACGCAUUUCACCGCUACACCGGAAAUUCCGCCACCCUCUCCUAUACUCCAGUUCAACCGUUUGCGAUGCACUUCCCAGGUUAAGCCCAGGGCUUUCACAUCACACAAAUUAAACCGCCUACGCGCCCUUUACGCCCAGUAAUUCCGAUUAACGCUCGCACCCUCUGUAUUACCGCGGCUGCUGGCAC